rnacentral:rRNA from 1 species
GCCGGCAGCUAGCUCUAUGCAACUCUCACAUGGCAGCCCAUUGAAGCUAAGCAGGGCUGUGCCCGGUCAGUACCUGGUUGGGAGACCACAUAGGAAAGCUAGGUUGCAGCCGGAA